AAAAAUGUUUGUUUUUUUUUUGUUAGGUACCGGAACAGUUUAUAAUUUAAAUCUACCAAACUAAAUUUACUCAGCAGCUAUUGAAAAUAUAGGUUUGAUGGUGGGAAAAGUUUCUCGAAUGCAGGAGAAGCCGAUGGCAGGAACACAAGCAUCCGGGACAUUCUCAACAGAAGCAGCCAACUCGAUCGACUUUCUAGUCAGCAAUGAUGACAACAGGAUGUGUAUGAAACAAGGCGAUCACUGUGACUUGCAAGUAAGUUUCUCGGACAAUCCAACCAACACCCAGCUAUGCUGUGUAAAUAACAAGAGCACAAUGAUAUGUAGAUGGUGCAUGGAUACGGAUACCAAGGAUACCAAUACGGAUACCAAGGUUAUCAAAGUUCUAACAACAGAUACGACACGAUGGCGGCCGGGGCGUCAUUGCAACUGGUACAAGCGUUCCUGUACAAUCCACUCAUCAUCUGCAACAUAUCUACUAACAUCACAGUCAACGAGGGAUCAAUACGGAUAACUCAAAACUACUUUUGGCGGAACAACCUGAAGGAUUAUCAGUCUGGAGGCCAAUGCUGUUAAUUAUAAGUGAAUGCGAGGUGUUCUAUUAGAUCUCAUGUAUUGUGAGUACAUUUAAGUGUUUCUUGUUGCUAUGAUGCUAUAUGUGCAUGUCAUAUGUGUUUAUUCCAAAGUCUUAAUGUAUCUCAGUAUCUUAAUAUGUGGUUUUUUGACAAUUUUGAAUCAUUCAAUGGACUUUCAUUCAAAUAGGUGAUGAUUGGAAGAAAUAUAUAAGGAAUAUGUAAAAAGUCCCUGUUGAAGAUGUAGUACAAAUCGUUAA